rnacentral:piRNA from 1 species
UGAACCAAGAGACUGCUGCUACUAACUACC